rnacentral:rRNA from 1 species
UACGAAGGGUGCAAGCGUUACUCGGAAUUACUGGGCGUAAAGCGUGCGUAGGUGGUUCGUUAAGUCUGAUGUGAAAGCCCUGGGCUCAACCUGGGAAUGGCAUUGGAUACUGGCGACCUAGAGUGCGGGAGAGGAGAAUGGAAUUCCUGGUGUAGCGGUGAAAUGCGCAGAUAUCAGGAAGAACACCCGUGGCGAAGGCGGUUCUCUGGAACGCAACUGACGCUGAGACGCGAAAGCGUGGGGAGCAAACAGG